GGCAAGGGCACUCUGUGUUACAUUGAUUUUUUACAAGUAAAACAAUUUGUAACCUUGCUAUAAUAAAAUUGCAUUUUUAGCUUCUACUUUAUUGCUUAAUUAAUAAGUUUUGAAGUUUUAACAGAAAUGUAGACAUUAU